GAAUAUUGGACAAUGGGCGAAAGCCUGAUCCAGCAAUGCCGCGUGAGUGAUGAAGGCCUUAGGGUUGUAAAGCUCUUUUACCCGGGAUGAUAAUGACAGUACCGGGAGAAUAAGCUCCGGCUAACUCCGUGCCGGCAGCCGCGGUAAUACGGAGGGGACUAGCGUUGUUCGGAAUUACUGGGCGUAAAGCGCACGUAGGCGGAUUCGUAAGUCAGGGGUGAAAUCCCGAGGCUCAACCUCGGAACUGCCUUUGAUACUGCGAAUCUCGAGUCCGGAAGAGGUGAGUGGAAUUCCUAGUGUAGAGGUGAAAUUCGUAGAUAUUAGGAAGAACACCAGUGGCGAAGGCGGCUCACUGGUCCGGUACUGACGCUGAGGUGCGAAAGCGUGGGGAGCAAACAGG
rnacentral:rRNA from 1 species